rnacentral:rRNA from 1 species
AUGGAAGGGCCAUCGCUCAACGGAUAAAAGGUACUCCGGGGAUAACAGGCUGAUACCGCCCAAGAGUUCAUAUCGACGGCGGUGUUUGGCACCUCGAUGUCGGCUCAUCACAUCCUGGGGCUGAAGUAGGUCCCAAGGGUAUGGCUGUUCGCCAUUUAAAGUGGUACGCGAGCUGGGUUUAGAACGUCGUGAGACAGUUCGGUCCCUAUCUGCCGUGGGCGCUGGAGAACUGAGGGGGGCUGCUCCUAGUACGAGAGGACCGGAGUGGACGCAUCACUGGUGUUCGGGUUGUCAUGCCAAUGGCACUGCCCGGUAGCUAAAUGCGGAAGAGAUAAGUGCUGAAAGCAUCUAAGCACGAAACUUGCCCCGAGAUGA